UGGCUCAGGAUGAACGCUAGCGGCAGGCCUAAUACAUGCAAGUCGAGCGGUAAAUGCCCCUUCGGGGACAUGAGAGUGGCGGACGGGUGCGUUACGCGUAUGCAACCAACCCCCCGACGGGCGUACAGCCGGUGGAAACGCCGGGUGAUGCGCCAUGCGGCCAAUGGAGGGCAUCCUCUGUUGGCGAAAGCCCUUGGGCGGUCGGGGACGGGCAUGCGUGCCAUUAGCUAGUCGGCGGGGCGACGGCCCACCGAGGCUACGAUGGCUAGGGGAUCUGAGAGGACGGUCCCCCACACUGGUACUGAGACACGGACCAGACUCCUGCGGGAGGCAGCAGUAAGGGAUAUUGGGCAAUGGGGGGAACCCUGACCCAGCCAUGCCGCGUGAGGGAAUGAGGCCCUACGGGUCGUGAACCUCUUUUAUCCGGGGACAAUACCCCGCACGUGAUGCGGGGUUGAGGGUACCGGAAGAAUAAGCAUCGGCUAACUCCGUGCCAGCCGCCGC
rnacentral:rRNA from 1 species